rnacentral:lncRNA from 1 species
UUCUAAACAUGUGAAAAAUUAAUUACAAUAUAGUACCUCCAUCUUUAACUUAGUCAUGCAAGUUGUGACGCCCCCAAAAUAGGUAUACAUCACCCAUCUUGGGUCGCUAGAAAAUACACUACUUACAACUCCAUUUAUACAAUUGUCGUGCAAAAUACAACGACUCAUAUACUAAGUUUCAAUACAAAUAUUGUUACGUAUAUAAUACGACAAUAUUUAUAUUUAAAUUAUUACAAUGCCAUAUAAAGUACAGCAGCAAGUAUAUCAAGUCCCUAAAGGGACACAAGAAGAUUUCUGUUCUCCUCAUUCUAAUGGAGUGCACCUUUGACGCUUCCAAAUUCUGAUUUCGCCUCACCCUAUUGUUGUUCACAAAAAUUAAAUAUCAAAUGAUGUAUAAAACAUGUCACACCCAUUUUAAGUUCUCAGUACAAUUAUUAUGCCACACCGUUUCAUAAUUUGGUUAGGCUUGUGACUAAUUCGUAUACCACUUUAUACCCAUGUUCUCCCUGCUAGUCCCAGCUACACUUUUAUUACCUGAAAGGGGUGGUGAAGUAAAAGGGUGAGCACAACUAACUCAGUAAAGAAUAUCAUGACUUAAGAUAAUUAAAUUAUCAAAAGGAUUCAGAUAUUUAUAACAUAUGGUAAAAGAUAAAAGUUUUCAACCAUAAUAGCAACGGAAUCAACAAUCCAUUAGAAGAGUCAAGUAGAACAUAAUGUCUACUAUCUCCUUUAGAUUAAAAGUCCAUCAUUAAUAUUUCAUUCCUGUAAUACUCAUCAAUAGUUCUUUGUUAUCCACAAGACAAAGAGAAAUCUCAUCACCUGUCUUCACCUGAACCACCACAGAUUAUAAUUAAAUUCAUAAUUCAUGUUUAUAAUCAGGUAAAUCAACAGUUCAUAUAACUGUAAAAUCAAUAACCAACAGUCCAUCUUUGCACUACAGGCCAAAGAUAUACAACUGUAAAGCCAAUAAUGCUGAGACUCAACUUAGUAGUAUCACGACCACGAAUUAUCCAUGCACUACGGGCCAAGGAUAUUCGUGUUUUCAAUUACGGUCAUGAUUAUACCGAAUAAUCCUUGGUCAUAAUCAUACCAAGUUCAUCUAUGCACUACUGGCCAUAGAUGACUUUCAACACAAUAUAAACAUGAGAAUGAUGACAAAGAUAUAUAUAAUGAAUAAACAUAAAUCAUCAAAAUAAUAAGAUAACAUAGAUCUUAAUGUUUUUCAACUUAAUUAUCCAGAGUCCAAAUUGAUAAUAAUAGAUGAAUCACAAACUAUUAAGGAUAUUCUAAGUCUUUCAGGACUUUUCACCAUUUAAUGCUAAACUGAAUAAACGAAUAAUAAUAUCUUACCAUAACAUGGGGUAUGAAAGAAAAUGAUAUGCCUUUUACCAUAAAAAUGAUACCCUCUUACCACAAUAAUGAUAUCCCUUACCUUAGCAUGUGACUUGAUUAUGUUUUCUGUGAAAUUGAUCAACUUAAACGAUGCUUGCAUUCCUUAUCUACACUUAGAGUAACAUCACACUCAAUAGAAAUACUCACAAUAUUGUAGUAACGGAAUUCUAUAUUUUUAGUGUAGUGAUGGUGUGUGUUUAGUUGCUCAACCGGGCAACUUAUUUAUACUGAAAAUUUAGUAAAUAAUUAGCACACCUACUUUGACAAAAAUAACCAAAUGAGUUAUAUGGUAGUGGAGUUUAUGGUCCCACAGAGAAAAUUAGACCAACUUGUACACAUUUUAAAAAUAAUUGAGUUGUGGUCCAGACUACUUUAGAAAAAGUAGAGUGUCGACAAGUCCUGCCAACUUACUUUUGUAAAAAAGAAAAUAAUUGAAUAAUCAUCUAUAUAUCAAACUUAUCUUUAAUCAACAACUUUUAUUCAUCAAUUAUUUACGCAUUUUCAUUCUUUCAGCAAUUAUUCACCAUUAUUAACAAAGGUUCACAAUACUGCCAACUGGUUUAAUUAUAUCAUAUCAAAUAAUAUGAGUCACUGUGCAAUAACUACUGUGACAAUUAUUGAAUGAAAGACUGAGUGGCUUCUUACGUAAAAAUCAAAUCAAUACCUUGCUAUAAACAAUUUAAAUUCUAUUAAAAGUAGGGAUCAACACCAAAUCAUAUUUAUCUCGAAUAACACAUAAACCAACUAACAAUUCAUUAUUCAUUCAAGUUAUCUCUAUUUAUCGCAUAAAAUCAUUAUUCAUAUUUCAAAACUUUAGAAGUGGAUAAUUAAAACUUGAGAAAUCUAAACCUCAUAUAUGACAAUCCACUAUUGUGGUAUUAUCACUAUUUUUACUUUAACAAAAAUAUUAUUUUUGUUUUUUUAUCAUAACUCAUUCGUUACUAGUGCGUUUACAUCCUGACAUCUCAUGAGCUUACUAACACUUCUAAAAUAUUCAAAAAUAUGAUUAUGAAUUUUCCAAGUAAUUUUCAUAUUUUUCAAAUUAACCAACAAUUUUCAAUAAUUAUUUCUAUUUAUAAAAACUAUCAUUUAAUAGCUUCAAAUUAGAAAUACUAACUCCACAUACUUAUAUAUCUUAAAAAUAUCAUCAAUAUUAAUUUUAUAUUAUUAUAAUAUUUUCAGCAAAAAUCUUAAUUUUCCACCAUUUAUAGAAUUUUUUAUGAAUUUCCUCUACUUUUAAACUAACCAUAAAUAGUUUAAAUAUAUAAUAAAUAUUUCUGUUAUUCAAUAAUUUUCCAAAACUAUCCAGAAAUUAUAAAAUAACAUUAUAAGAUUUUUCACCAAAUUUCAUAAUUUUUCAUCAUUCAUGGAAUAUUCUAUGAAUUUCUUCUAUUUUCAAACUAACUAUAAUUAGUUUAAAAAUACAAUAAUUACUUCUGCUUUUCAAUAAUUCAUCAAAAAUUUACAGAAAUUCUAAGAUGAUAUAAUAAGUAUUCUGUAAAAAUAUUUCAACCCAAAUCAUUUUUCUGAUAAUUUAAUUAUAAACUCCAAUAUUCAGAAAUUUCAAUAAUUCAUAAUAAUUAUUCUUUUAUCAGAAAAAUAAGGAUCUUAUGCCCUUUCCAUGUAAAAUUUAAUUCUCUACAACUUUGUAGAAGAAAGUUUUCCCAAAUUCUGACUCUAACAUAGAGAUAUAUUCUUACCGAAAAAUUAUGCUUGAAGAUUUCCGAACCAGCCACCUCACAAAAUUCAUAACAAAUCAUAAAUUAAUCUUUAACGGUUCAAAAUUUGCAGACAUAUACUUAACUUAUAUAUGUAUAACAUAUACAAAAAUCACAACGAUCCAACGGUCGGAUUAACAAUUAUAACUCACACAAUAGAGCUUAAUAAAACUAAUUUUUUGGACUAUAAGUCAUUCGGACAAGUUCUACUCAAACUACUCAAACUGUCACCACGAAAAAUCUACAAAGAAUUUUUGGGUGAUUCAAAUUUCUGUAGUUAGCUUACUUCCAGGGCUUUCUUUUGAUAUAUGGCUCAUCUCCUAACUCAUUAUACACAAAGAGUUAUGGAUUUUACAAAAUCAAGUAGUAAACUAGUUUUUUGAAAAUCUCCAUAUUUUGUUCUUCAUUUGAUUUCUAGAUUUCUCUCACUUGACUCAUGUUUAUACAAGUUUAAAUCAUUCAAUAAAUACAUAAGUAUGUACUCUUUACAUAAAAUCCAUAAAACUUAAAUCUAAGAAUAAAUCAAGGAUUUAUAAACAUACCUUCUUAAUUUCCUCAAGCUUUUCCAUUACACCCACUUGAUUCUCUCACUGGCUUCUUGGAUAUUUUAUUGGAUGAAGAUAAAUAUGGUGAUCAUAGAAUGAUUAAGGAUGAAGAAGAUAUGAAAUUGUUGAUUUUCUCUUCUUCUUCCUCCUCAUCUCUCUCUCUUUUAUUUCUGAUUUUUUCGUGAGUAGAAAUGGGUGAAUAUCCCAUCUCUUUCUUCUUCUUCUUCUCAUUCUUCUCUCUCUCUCUCUUUCUCUCUUCUCUAUUCUUUUCUCUCCCCUAAUCUAAGCCUCCCGUGAAUGGAAGAAAUGGGG